GCAAGUCGAGGGGUAACAGAUGAAGAGCUUGCUCUUGCUGACGAGUGGCGCACGGGUGCGUAACGCGUAUGCAACCUACCCUGAUCAGGGGGAUAGCCCAGAGAAAUUUGGAUUAAUACCCCAUAAUAUUAUUGAUUGGCAUCAAUUAAUAAUUAAAACUCCGGUGGAUCAGGAUGGGCAUGCGUCCUAUUAGCUAGUUGGUGUGGUAAUGGCACACCAAGGCAACGAUAGGUAGGGGUUCUGAGAGGAUGAUC
rnacentral:rRNA from 1 species